UACGGAGGGUGCAAACGUUGCUCGGAAUCAUUGGGCGUAAAGCGCACGUAGGCGGCCCAGCAAGUCGGGUGUGAAAGCCCUCGGCUCAACCGAGGAAGUGCAUUCGAAACUACUGGGCUUGAAUACUGGAGAGGAUCGCGGAAUUCCCGGUGUAGAGGUGAAAUUCGUAGAUAUCGGGAGGAACACCAGUGGCGAAGGCGGCGAUCUGGACAGAUAUUGACGCUGAGGUGCGAAAGCGUGGGGAGCAAACAGG
rnacentral:rRNA from 1 species